rnacentral:rRNA from 1 species
UACGGAGGAUCCAAGCGUUAUCCGGAUUUAUUGGGUUUAAAGGGUGCGUAGGUGGCGAGGUAAGUCGGAUGUGAAAGCUCGGAGCUCAACUCCGAAAUGGCAUUGGAAACUACCUUGCUCGAGGGUUGGAGGGGGGACUGGAAUGCUUGGUGUAGCAGUGAAAUGCGUAGAUAUCAAGCGGAACACCAGUGGCGAAGGCGAGUCCCUGGACAACUCCUGACACUGAUGCACGAAAGCUAGGGGAGCAAACAGG